rnacentral:rRNA from 1 species
GAUGAACGCUGGCGGCGUGCCUAAUACAUGCAAGUCGAGCGAACAGACGAGGAGCUUGCUCCUCUGACGUUAGCGGCGGACGGGUGAGUAACACGUGGAUAACCUACCUAUAAGACUGGGAUAACUUCGGGAAACCGGAGCUAAUACCGGAUAAUAUAUUGAACCGCAUGGUUCAAUAGUGAAAGACGGUUUUGCUGUCACUUAUAGAUUGACCCGCGCCGCAUUAGCUAGUUGGUAAGGUAACGGCUUACCAAGGCAACGAUGCGUAGCCGACCUGAGAGGGUGAUCGGCCACACUGGAACUGAGACACGGUCCAGACUCCUACGGGAGGCAGCAGUAGGGAAUCUUCCGCAAUGGGCGAAAGCUUGACGGAGCAACGCCGCGUGAGUGAUGAAGGUCUUCGGAUCGUAAAACUCUGUUAUUAGGGAAGAACAAAUGUGUAAGUAACUAUGCACGUCUUGACGGUACCUAAUCAGAAAGCCACGGCUAACUACGUG